UACGGAGGGUGCAAGCGUUGUCCGGAUUUAUUGGGUUUAAAGGGUGCGUAGGCGGCUAAUUAAGUCAGCGGUGAAAUUCCAGAGCUCAACUCUGUGAACUGCCAUUGAUACUGGUUGGCUUGAGUACAGAUGAGGUAGGCGGAAUUGACAGUGUAGCGGUGAAAUGCUUAGAUAUUGUCAAGAACACCUAUUGCGAAGGCAGCUUACUAAACUGUAACUGACGCUGAGGCACGAAGGCGUGGGGAUCAAACAGG
rnacentral:rRNA from 1 species